GGCCCGUAGCUCAGCCUGGUAGAGCGGCGGUGGGCCGGCACCCGUAGGUCGUGGGUUCGAAUCCCACCGGGCCCGCCAG
rnacentral:tRNA from 1 species